CUCUCUUGACUGGCAGAAGGUCAGUAGUAGCUUCCGCAAUGGGGUCACUCCAGUAGUUACCUGUAUCAAACAUGUCUACAAGAUUUGCAGAUUCUAAUCCUUCCGGUUGUGAUGGUAUACCGGGGUUAGUAGGAGGAACAGCAGUAGCUAUUUGAUUUAACUGAGAUUUAAUCAUUUUAUUAAAGCUAAUUUGAUUCUUGAUGGCAGUAGAGAAAUUAUCCAUUCUAUUAUUUAUAUUUUCUAACAUUUUAUCAUUAGACGCCAAUUUCUUAGAUAGGUUAUCCAUUAGCAUUCCUUGAUUAGACACUAACUCUCUCAGAGG
rnacentral:lncRNA from 1 species